rnacentral:rRNA from 1 species
UACGUGGGGCGCAAGCGUUGUCCGGAAUUAUUGGGCGUAAAGAGCUCGUAGGCGGUCUGUUACGUCCGCUGUGAAAACCCAGGGCUUAACCCUGGGCUUGCAGUGGAUACGGGUAGACUAGAGGCAGGUAGGGGAGAAUGGAAUUCCCGGUGUAGCGGUGAAAUGCGCAGAUAUCGGGAGGAACACCGGUGGCGAAGGCGGUUCUCUGGGCCUGACCUGACGCUGAGGAGCGAAAGCGUGGGGAGCGAACAGG